rnacentral:rRNA from 1 species
GAAAACACUCUGGAAAGAGCGGCCAUAGAAGGUGAUAGCCCUGUAUCUGAAAGGGCCAUUUCAGUGAAGACGAGUAGGGCGGGGCACGUGAAACCCUGUCUGAACAUGGGGGGACCAUCCUCCAAGGCUAAAUACUACUGACCGACCGAUAGUGAACCAGUACCGUGAGGGAAAGGCGAAAAGAACCCCGGAGAGGGGAGUGAAAUAGAACCUGAAACCGUGUGCGUACAAGCAGUAGGAGCUCCGCAAGGAGUGACUGCGUACCUUUUGUAUAAUGGGUCAGCGACUUACUGUUCGUGGCAAGCUUAACCGUAUAGGGGAGGCGAAGGGAAACCGAGUCUGAUAAGGGCGCAUAGUCGCGGGCAGUAGACCCGAAACCGGGUGAUCUAGUCAUGCCCAGGGUGAAGGUGCGGUAACACGCACUGGAGGCCCGAACCCACUCCCGUUGCAAAGGUAGGGGAUGAGGUGUGAUUAGGAGUGAAAAGCUAAUCGAACCCGGAGAUAGCUGGUUCUCCUCGAAAGCUAUUUAGGUAGCGCCUCAUAUGUAUCCUCUCGGGGGUAGAGCACUGUUAUGGCUAGGGGGUCAUCGCGACUUACCAAACCAUUGCAAACUCCGAAUACCGAGACGGACUGUAUGGGAGACACACGGCGGGUGCUAACGUCCGUCGUGAAAAGGGAAACAACCCAGACCCACAGCUAAGGUCCCAAAUUCUCGUGCUAAGUGGAAAACCAUGUGGAAAAGGCACAGACAGCCAGGAGGUUGGCUUAGAAGC